CUUCUCCUUUGACUCGUACUUUUAUGGUUCCGGUCCUACGCCUCUAGAUUUCUUCCUCCGAUCACCCCCGCCUUCCCUCUUCACCCUUCCUUCUUCGACCCCGGCCGCGGUGUCGCCACCGCCCCGCCCUUCGGCUUCCUCUUCUCAGAGCACCGGGCGAGGCGGUCACGCACCACCCCUUCGCUCCUAUUUAAGGCCCCCCACCGUGAAGUCGACGCUCUGUCUCUCUCUCUCUCGUUCUUGAUCUCUCCCGAUCCAGGAGGAUAAUUGUAGGGUUUAGAGAGAGAGAGAGAGAGCGCUCUCUCCUUGCCCUGAGAUCGAUGAGAGUCCGAGGAAGGAUCUGCCAUGGAUGACGCCCGGAACUCGAAGAGGAUCCGCGGCUCUCUCAUGGAAUGGCAGAUCUCCUUGGCUCUGCGAACGCCGACCGAGACAUCGACAAGGCACUGAUUGCUCUGAAGAAAGGUGCUCAAUUGCUUAAAUAUGGUCGAAAAGGGAAGCCAAAGUUUUGCCCGUUCAGAUUAUCCAAUGAUGAAUCAACUUUGAUUUGGUUUUCUGGUGGUGGAGAAAGAACUCUGAAGUUAGCUUCUGUUUUGAGAAUUGUACCAGGGCAAAGAACUCCUGUUUUUCAACGAUAUCUACGCCCUGAUAGGGACUACUUGUCCUUUUCACUUAUCUACAAUGAUGGAAAAAGGUCUCUCGAUUUGAUAUGCAAGGAUAAAGUUGAGGCAGAGGUUUGGUUUUCAGGCCUCAAAGCAUUGAUUUCCACCGGGCAAUAUGGACGCUCCAAAAUAGAUGGAUGGAACAAUGGAGGACUUAAUACUGAUGAUAGUCGAGGAUCUGCAUCAAACAGUAUAAGUGACCAGUCUAUUGGCUCCACUUUAGAUUCCUCCGAGAGCAGGCUAACUUCAAGUAGCAUACCAAAAAAUCUCUCUUUUGAGUACUCUGUUACCUCAGAUAUAUCAGAUGCGACAAAUAUGCAUGUCAAAGGAGUUUCUUCAGAUGGUUUUAGGGUCAGUAUUUCUAGUGUCCCUAGCACAUCUAGUCAUGGUUCUGCACAGGAUGACUUUGAUGCUGCUGGUGAUGUUUAUGUGUGGGGUGAAGUCAUUUGUGAUACUUCCACCAGGAUUAGUGCUGAUAAAAAUAGCAGUCCCUCCAGUGCAAGGUCUGACAUCCUCCUACCCAAGCCAAUAGAAUCUAAUGUAGUUUUGGAUGUGCAUCAUGUAGCUUGCGGUGUUAGACAUGCGGCUCUUGUUACCAGACAGGGAGAAUUAUUCACAUGGGGUGAAGAAUCUGGAGGACGACUUGGUCAUGGAGUUGGCAUGGAUAUUAUUCACCCUCGUUUACUUGAAUCUCUGUCUACCUUCAAUGUUGAUUAUGUUGCUUGUGGGGAGUUCCAUACCUGUGCUGUCACGGCAACCGGUGAACUCUAUACUUGGGGAGAUGGCGCACAUAAUGCAGGGCUUCUUGGUCAUGGGACAAAUGUGAGUCAUUGGAUGCCUAAAAGAGUUUCAGGACCUUUAGAAGGGCUUCAGGUUUCUUACGUUUCUUGUGGUGUUUGGCACACAGCUAUAGUCACUACAGCUGGGCAGUUAUUUACAUUUGGUGAUGGAACAUUUGGUGUAUUAGGGCAUGGAAACAGAGAAACUGUAUUAUACCCAAGGGAAGUGGAAUCAUUGGCGGGUUUGAAGACAAUUGCUGUUUCAUGUGGGGUUUGGCACACUGCUGCUGUUGUUGAGGUUAUGGUGACACAGUCUAGUGCUUCAUCUGGAAAACUAUUCACUUGGGGUGAUGGGGACAAGUAUCGCCUUGGCCAUGGUGAUAAGGUAGCACGACUUAAACCUACCUGCGUGCCUUCAUUGAUUGAUUACAAUUUUCACAGGUUGGCUUGUGGCCAUAGCCUCACAAUUGGGUUGACCACUUCAGGACAGGUUUUUACCAUGGGAAGUAAUGUAUAUGGUCAACUUGGUAAUCCCCGCUCUGAUGGAAAGCUUCCAUGCAUGGUCGAAGACAAACUUGCUGGCGAACCUGUGGGAGAGGUUGCUUGUGGUUCAUAUCACAUUGCAGUUUUGACAACCAGAGGAGAAGUUUAUACAUGGGGAAAAGGAGCCAAUGGAAGAUUGGGCCACGGCGACUUUGAAGAUCGUAAAACACCUACACUUGUUGAAGCUUUAAAAGAUAGACCAGUCAAACAAAUAUCUUGUGGGUCAAACUUCACAGCUGCCAUAUGCCAGCAUAAGUGGAUAUCUGGUGCAGAGCAAUCCCAGUGCUCAGCAUGUAGACAGGCAUUUGGAUUCACUAGAAAGAAGCACAAUUGCUACAACUGUGGGCUUGUACACUGUCAUCAAUGCAGUUCAAGAAAGGCCUUGAGAGCAGCACUAUCUCCUAAUCCUGGAAAACCUUAUCGUGUAUGUGAUUCAUGUUAUGUGAAACUGAAUAGUGGAUUGGAGCCUGGUGGAGUUAAUAACAAGAAAAAUGCUAAACCCUGGAUUUCCACUGAAAGCAAAGACAAGUUUGAUAAAGUGGAUACCUUACCCAAGGCUUCUCUAUCCAGAAAUUUGGAGUUGAUCAAGAGUUUGGAUAUAAAGACUGCCAAGAAUGGGAAGAAUACCAAUUUUAUGUAUAUGACUCAAAAUCCUAAAGGUUCUUCAGUUUCACCGCUGAAGAGUCUUGCUUUCCCUGGUGGAAUUGAUAUGCUUCAAGCAGUUUCUAAACCUGUCCAAACAACAGGAGCUAACUCUGCAAAUCGCUCCAGAGCUGUUUCACCUUUUUCAAGAAAAUCGAGUCCUCCACGCUCCACAACACCUACUCCCACAACGUCUGGUCUUUCUUUUACCAAAAACAUUUCUGAUAGUUUGAAGAAAACAAAUGAUCUUCUUAACCAAGAACUUCUAAAAUUACGUUCUGAGGUUGAUAGUCUACGACAACGAUGUGAACGCCAAGACUUUGAGUUGCAGAAGGCUGAAAAGAAAGCAAAAGAAGCCAUGACAGUUGCUGCUGAGGAAUCAACAAAAUCCAAAGCUGCCAAAGAAGUUAUAAAAUCACUAACUGCACAGCUGAAAGAAAUGGCAGAACGACUUCCUCAUGGAACUUAUGGUACCAACACAACAAUACCAAUGCACCUGCCAAAUGGUGUCGAAUCACAUGCUAUUCAGCACAUCGGUUCAAGUGGAGAACACUUGUUUAUAAAUGAUGCUGGCAAUAUUGCUAACAUGGCUCCUUCCAGAACUGGCUACUUGGGUCAGAUAAAUGAAAAUUCAGGUGGCAACACUUCGGUCAGAGAGAUUUAUCGACCUAAUGAGACAAGCGCACCUCCAACCCCGAAGAUUGUAAACGCCAAGAUGGAACAGAAUUUGAACCCACAAAAUGCAGGCCAAGGAGAAAUGUGGGCAUCUAGCACUAGACUCAAGGAUAUCGAUAGCAGGACUAUUGCAUCUUCUCAAAGUCAUGAUGAUGCUGUUUCAGCGGUUAGGAGCCCCAGCGAAUUGAGUAAUGAUGUUGAAGCAGAAUGGAUAGAACAAUUUGAACCUGGUGUUUACAUAACCCUGGUGACCCUUCGAGAUGGAACAAGAGACUUGAAGAGGGUGCGCUUCAGUCGGAGAAGGUUCGGUGAGCAACAAGCAGAAGCUUGGUGGUCGGAAAAUCGUGAGAGGGUGUACGAGAAAUAUAAUUUUCGUGUACCAGACAGGACCUCGUCAGCCAUGCUAACUUGAUUUUGCAUGCAGAUUAGAACAAGAAUAAAAGCUCCUGUUUGCAUAGCUUAGUAGCCAGAAGCAGAUCAACAAAAUAAAAAGGCUAAUGGAGCAGGAAACCAAGAUGUGCGAGCGAGGGGUGUGCACUUUGUUUUCAUGCUGGCGGUUGGAGCCCUCGAGGCUUUUCUCUCUCUCUCUUUCUCUUGUUUAGGAAAUGCCCAGUAGUCCAUCCAAGUAUAUUUUGAGGAUGUACACGUGGCAUGUUAUUGAGGCAGUCACGGGUCCUGAGUAGCUGCUGUUGUCGCCUUUAUGUCAACUGCGAACUGCCCACAUGGUUGCAGCUAAGUUAUGUUUUCUCGAUCAACGAAGAACACACACAUUCAAACAAGUAACGAGGAAUGUUACUGAGCAGUAUUCAAAUUAGUUGGUGGGCUAAUUAUGUGUUAUUGUACUUUGAUCCUAUUUGUACGAUGAUCUCUGUAUUUAAAAAAAUUAUAUUCAAA